GCCUGAGUGGCUCAGUCGGUUGAGCAUCUGACUUCAACUCAGGUCAUGAUCUUCGGGUU
rnacentral:tRNA from 1 species